AGCACUUUAGCUCAGUGGUUAAGAGCAUUAUAAGGAGUGCAUAUCCAAGAGGUUGUUGGUUCAAUUCUAACAAAUGCUG